rnacentral:tRNA from 4 species
AUGCGGGUAGCUCAAUUGGUAGAGCAGCGGUCUCCAAAACCGCCGGUUGCAGGUUCGAGUCCUGCCCCGUGUGC